AGGAAGCUUUCUCAUCUUCUGCACAAGAAGGACGACUAGUGGUCAAAGGGCGCGUUCUCCAUUCCACAUUAGAGCCUGGAACCAGCCGAAUCGCAGUGCAAUCAGCUUUUCUGGUCUUUAGUUUACAUGUAUCGCUGAGAAUAAUGAGGCCAGGAAGAGGAGAAGGAAAUUAAUUACUCAAGGUUCUCUGGAUAUUUUGUGUCAGAUCCAGGUCUUUUUCUGGUACAUAUCCUCUUAGAUUUAAUUUUCUUUGGUGGGAAGACGCCGGUUUCUGACAGUCUCAUGACUCUCUGAGAAGAUGGUUUGUGUAUAUUCUGCCUUGCGCAUGCGCUCUGAGACAUUUCCAGCAGAGUUAUUGUUGAACAGCUUCCAAACACCGUUUCCACAGUAACCAUAUUCUCAAGAAAGAAUAACUUGUGCAAACGUUUGAGACAAUGAUGUAUGUACCAUUAACUUUAAUCUAGUUUGUUGCUUAUUUUUUGAGACAGAGUAAGUCACAGUCCAACUUAGCCUCAAGCUCAAGGUAUGUCACCCACCUGAGUGCUGGGAUUACAUAUGUGUGUUACUACACUAGCUUUAUGAAUAACUUUGAAGAUUACAAAGUUCCACAGGUUUAACCAGGCAAAAGGAAAAUGAACUUCCUGAGAGAGAUGAUUGUAUAAGGAAACACUUACAGUAGAAGAUACUGGAGCUGCUCCAACCUACUCCAUGCAGGUAGCUUCUUGUAUACUCAUUUGAAAUACUCUUUUUCUACUAGAACUAGCAACCACUACCCAACCCCUGCCAUAGAGCAAUGGUGAAUGACCUGUCCUACAUGAAGUAGCCGGAGUAGCUAACUGUUGGGAGAACGGGCUUAAGUACUUCUCAGCACGAAGCGUUUCCAGUGUGCCUUGAAAUACACUAGAUGUUGGCAUCGUCAGGAAAGCAAAGCCUACAGUGCAUACCUGCAGUGCUAGUUACUCCAGAGGCUGAGGCAGGAGGAUUACAAGUUGAGCUUGUGAUUCUAGGCUACCAGAGAGUACAAAACUGGCCUGGGAAAUUAACAUGUUCCAUCUCAAAAUUUUAAAAAUGGCUGGUUUAUAAUGCAGUGGUAGUACCCCUAUAUAGUACACACAAGGUCAUGGUUUAAUCUCCAAUAUAAAGGAAGAAAGGAGGGUGGGGGAAAGGAGAGGAGAAGGAAAUCAUUCUGAUAUGCUUAGUAGUCUGAACUGAAGGGAGAAUCUGAGUGCUCUGCUUGGCCCAGUUAGCACCUGCUUUAACAACAGAAUGAUUGGAAACAUUCUAGUUUAAAUGGUAAACUGUAUAGUUUCCCUAUUUACUAAGCAAUUCGUGCAUGCUAAGCAUUAUGAGAUGCAAGAAAUUCUCUGUCCUUGAAGUGUUAACUUCUGUCCAGUGAAGACAGACAAGUAAACCCAUGUGAUGUAUAUGAUGUAUACACUUUGCAUGUUAGAGAUUAAUACAUAAUGUUUUCAAACUUUACUCACGGCUUCUCAGCUCCAGACUGAGAGUCCAAAAUCUUGUCAGAGUCCCCAGGGUGGGCCCAUGAUAAGUAGUCUUACAGGAAAAGUAGGAGCUAACUAAGUGAAGAAUGUUCCAACCCAAAUGAUGUGUGGUUGCCAAGGAAGACGAACAAAGGAGAACACAGCAGUUUAGAAGAACUGAAAGCAUUUGAAUUGUGGAGCCUCGCCAUGAACAGGCAGGGAAUGAGCUGGACCUCUGGAGGAUAACUGAUGGAUCUUGAAGCCCUCGUGCUGAUUGAAAGUCUGAACUGAAUUCCCAGACUUGGAGCAUUAUCCAUGCAUAAAACACAGCAUUGUCUUGGCUACAGCAGGAGCAUAAAUGACAGAGGACAGGAAUUCAAGGAAAUAUAAGCAGAAGUUUUAGAGUGGAAUGCACAUUAAAUCUCCCAGUUCAAUUUGACAUAAGCCUCUCUUUUCAUUCACCUCCACACACUUCUUGAAUUAAAUAAUAAUGUGCUCCCGGGCCAGGCCCAUGUCUUUCCCAUUGCCACCUGCUUCUGGGUGGGCUCAAGGUAUCCUGUUCCCUCAGGCAGCUGCUCCUUCCACUUCAUGGACCAUCAAUGGCACAGGCAUCAAAAUGUCCAGCCAAGUUGUGUGCCAGGAAGCCUGCCACAUGGGAGCUGGCACAUAGCCUCAGGACUGCAAUAGAAUGCACAGCUAGGAGGCUGGCUUUCACAAGUGAAGCUGAGAAGGCAUUAUUGUAGCCCAUGCAGGAUAAAUAGCUAUAUAUUAAAUGGGUCUUGUUUUGCCCAUGCUUUCAAACAAGUUGAUCUCCCUAUUUUGGAGAAAGUCUAGCUUUGGCCUUUCCCAUCAUAUGCUCCCUCCCCCUGUGUACUUUUCAGCAUGGAAAUGUAUGAGGCACAUCUGUAGGACCUUAUUAUCCAUCAGUAGAUGUAGACAGCUAUAAGACAGGAAGGAUUGAACCUAUGUGUCUGUAGACAGAAAAAUGAACACCAUGUUGAAAUGCAAUUACCUGGCACAUAAAAGCCAUUGGAAUGCUCUAAGGAUGAGGUUGCUGUCAUUACUAUAUGAACUAGAGCUCUGGGUCAGUAUUAGGAACAAGAAUUUGGAAAACUCUUAAAUAAAUAUCCAGCAGAUUC